UACGGAGGAUGCAAGCGUUGUCCGGAUUUAUUGGGUUUAAAGGGUGCGCAGGUUGUUUGAUAAGUCAGUGGUGAAAGUCUGUCGCUUAACGGUAGGAUUGCCAUUGAUACUGUUGGACUUGAGUAUGGAUGAGGUAGGCGGAAUGUGUAGUGUAGCGGUGAAAUGCAUAGAUAUUACACAGAACACCGAUUGCGAAGGCAGCUUACUAAUCCAUCAUUGACGCUGAGGCACGAAAGCGUGGGGAUCAAACA
rnacentral:rRNA from 1 species